UGGUUCUGGCAUCGAUGAAGAACGCAGCGAAAUGCGAUAAGUAAUGUGAAUUGCAGAAUUCAGUGAAUCAUCGAAUCUUUGAACGCACAUUGCGCCCAGUAGUAUUCUACUAGGCAUGCCUGUUCGAGCGUCAUUUCAACCCUUAAGCCCUCGUCGCUUAGCGUUGGGAGCCUACAGCACUGUAGCUCCCCAAAGUUAGUGGCAGAGUCGGUUCACACUCUAGACGUAGUAAUUUUCGCCUCGCCUGUAGUUUAGACCGGUCUCUCGCCGUAAAACGCCUUAAUUCUUUUACAAGGUUGACCUCGGAUCAGGUAGGAAUACCCGCUGA
rnacentral:misc_RNA from 1 species